GACCAGACUCCUACGGGAGGCAGCAGUGGGGAAUAUUGGGCAAUGGGCGCAAGCCUGACCCAGCAACGCCGCGUGAAGGAAGAAGGCUUUCGGGUUGUAAACUUCUUUUGUCAGGGACGAAGCAAGUGACGGUACCUGACGAAUAAGCCACGGCUAACUACGUGCCAGCAGCCGCGGUAAUACGUAGGUGGCAAGCGUUAUCCGGAUUUACUGGGUGUAAAGGGCGUGUAGCCGGGCUGACAAGUCAGAUGUGAAAUCCGUGGGCUCAACCCCCGAACUGCAUUUGAAACUGUUGGUCUUGAGUAUCGGAGAGGCAGGCGGAAUUCCUAGUGUAGCGGUGAAAUGCGUAGAUAUUAGGAGGAACGCCAGUGACGAAGGCGGCCUGCUGGA
rnacentral:rRNA from 1 species